rnacentral:rRNA from 1 species
AUUGAACGCUGGCGGCAGGCCUAACACAUGCAAGUCGAGCGGAGCGGCGGACGGGCGAGUAAUGCCUAGGAAUCUGCCUGGUAGUGGGGGAUAACGUCCGGACACGGGCGCUCAUCUCGUAUUCCCUCAGAUGAGCCUAGGUCGGCUUAGCUAGUUGGUGGGGUAAAGGCCUACCAAGGCGACGAUCCGUAACUGGUCUGAGAGGAUGAUCAGUCACACUGGAACUGAGACACGGUCCAGACUCCUACGGGAGGCAGCAGUGGGGAAUAUUGGACAAUGGGCGAAAGCCUGAUGCAGCCAUGCCGCGUGUGUGAAGAAGGUCUUCGGAUUGUAAAGCACUUUAAGUUGGGAGGCGUUACCAACAGAAUAAGCACCGGCUAACUUCGUGCCAGCAGCCGCGGUAAUUC